rnacentral:rRNA from 1 species
UACAGAGGUCUCAAGCGUUGUUCGGAUUCAUUGGGCGUAAAGGGUGCGUAGGCGGCGCGGUAAGUCGGGUGUGAAAUCUCGGAGCUUAACUCCGAAACUGCAUUCGAUACUGCCGUGCUUGAGGACUGGAGAGGAGACUGGAAUUUACGGUGUAGCAGUGAAAUGCGUAGAUAUCGUAAGGAAGACCAGUGGCGAAGGCGAGUCUCUGGACAGUUACUGACGCUGAGGCACGAAGGCCAGGGGAGCAAACGGG